CAAGUCGUGGGGCAGCAUGGGGUAGCAAUACUCUGAUGGCGACCGGCAAACGGGUGAGGAACAUGUACGCAACCUUCCUUUAACUGGAGAAUAGCCCCUCGAAAGAGGGAUUAAUACUCCGUAACAUAAUGAAGUGACAUCACUUUAUUAUUAUAGCUCCGGCGGUUAAAGAUGGGCGUGCACCUGAUUAGAUAGUUGGCGGGGUAACGGCCCACCAAGUCUGCGAUCAGUAACUGGUGUGAGAGCACGACCAGUCACACGGGCACUGAGACACGGGUCCGACUCCUACGGGAGGCAGCAGUAAGGAAUAUUGGUCAAUGGACGCAAGUCUGAACCAGCCAUGCCGCGUGGAGGAUUAAGGCCCUCUGGGUUGUAAACUCCUUUUAUCUGGGAAGAAAUGUACUUUUUCUUGAGUACUUGACGGUACCAGAGGAAUAAGCACCGGCUAACUCCGUGCCAGCAGCCGCGGUAAUACGGAGGGUGCAAGCGUUAUCCGGAUUCACUGGGUUUAAAGGGUGCGUAGGUGGGCAGGAAAGUCAGUGGUGAAAUCUCCGGGCUUAACCCGGAAACUGCCGUUGAUACUAUUUGUCUUGAAUAUUGUGGAGGUAAGCGGAAUAUGUCAUGUAGCGGUGAAAUGCUUAGAUAUGACAUAGAACACCAAUUGCGAAGGCAGCUUACUACACAACGAUUGACACUGAGGCACGAAAGCGUGGGGAUCAAACAGGAUUAGAUACCCUGGUAGUCCACGCCCUAAACGAUGAUUACUCGACAUACGCGAUACACUGUGUGUGUCUGAGCGAAAGCAUUAAGUAAUCCACCUGGGAAGUACGUUCGCAAGAAUGAAACUCAAAGGA
rnacentral:rRNA from 1 species